AGUAACGGCGAGUGAAGCGGCAACAGCUCAAAUUUGAAAUCUGGCUUUCGGGCCCGAGUUGUAAUUUGUAGAGGAUACUUUUGAUGCGGUGCCUUCCGAGUUCCCUGGAACGGGACGCCAUAGAGGGUGAGAGCCCCGUCUGGUUGGAUGCCAAAUCUCUGUAAAGUUCCUUCGACGAGUCGAGUUGUUUGGG
rnacentral:rRNA from 1 species